rnacentral:tRNA from 5 species
GAAUCAUUAGCUUAAUUGGUUAGAGCAGAUAGGUCAUUACUUAUCGGGUGUCGGUUCAAGUCCGACAUGAUUUA